ensembl:snoRNA U3 Small nucleolar RNA U3
AAGACUAUACUUUCAGAAAUCAUUUCUAUCGUUUGUUACUAGAGAAGUUUCCCUGAACAUGUAGAGUACCUGAAACAAUGAGGAGGAGGUGCAGUGUUCCUUCCUGAGCAUGAGGCUCACUCUGGGUGUUGUCUUUGCAGCUGCGCUUGGUUAUUGACAAUUGUUCUUCCCCUCCUUUGGGAGAGUAAGAGAGAACGCACACCAUCUGAGUGGU